CGUUCCCUACGGGACGCAGCAGUGGGGAAUAUUGCGCAAUGGGCGAAAGCCUGGCCCAGCAACGCCGCGUGAAGGAAGAAGGCUUUCGGGUUGUAAACUUCUUUUCUCAGGGACGAAGAAAGUGACGGUACCUGAGGAAUAAGCCACGGCUAACUACGUGCCAGCAGCCGCGGUAAUACGUAGGUGGCAAGCGUUAUCCGGAUUUACUGGGUGUAAAGGGCGUGUAGGCGGGACUGCAAGUCAGAUGGGAAAACCACGGGCGCAACCUGGGGCCUG
rnacentral:rRNA from 1 species